rnacentral:rRNA from 1 species
GGUCAAGCUACUAAGAGUAAGCGGUGGAUGCCUUGGCGCUGAGAGGCGAUGAAGGACGUGGGGUAGCUGCGAAAAGCCUCGGGGAGCCGCGUACCAGGCUUUGAUCCGGGGAUUUCCGAAUGGGGCAACCUGUCGUGGGUCAUGCCGCGACAUCCGUAUCUGAAUGCAUAGGGUACGGAGGCGAACGGAGAGAAUUGAAACAUCUUAGUACCUCCGGGAAAGGAAAGAAACCUCGACUUCCCCAGUAGCGGCGAGCGAAAAGGAAGUAGCCCAAACCGGGUAUCUGUAAGCACGCAUGCGUUGGGUGCCCGGGGUCGUGGGAAAUGCCUCGUCGGGAUGCGGACCGGCGAAGGAGUUACAAAAGUCUCUUCUAGCCUAAUCGUCUGGAAAGGCGAGCCAAAGAAGGUGAUAGGCCUGUGGGCGAAAGAAGCAGACUCUCCUGGCGUUUUCCCAAGUAGCGCCAGUCUCGUGAAACCUGGCGUGAAUUCGGGGGGACCACCCCCCAAGGCUAAGUACUUCUCAGCGACCGAUAGUGCACGUAGUAGCGUGAGUGAAAGGUGAAAAGAACCCCUUUUAGGGGAGUGAAAUAGACCCUGAAACCGCUUACUUACAAACUGUCGGAGCCCUAUGCCGACUUCGGUCGGAACGGGUGACGGCGUGCCUUUUGCUUAAUGAACCUGCGAGUUGCUGUGGGCAGCAAGGUUAAGCCCUUAAGGGGCGGAGCCAUAGCGAAAGCGAGUGCGAAAUGCGCGAUUCAGUUGUCCGCAGCAGACCCGAAAACGAGCGAUCUAACCAUGGCCAGGCUGAAGCGGGUGUAAGAGCCCGUGGAGGGCCGAACGCACCUAGGUUGAAAACUGGGGCGAUGAGCUGUGGUUCGGAGCAAAAAACUAAUCGAGCUCGGUUAUAUCUGGUUCUCCCCGAAAUAGCUUUAGGGCUAGCCUUGCGUAAUAGGCAGUGGGGGUAGAGAGACUGAAUGGGUUUGGGGGUCCACCAGACUACCCUGCCCAACCAAACUCCGAAUACCAUUGUCCGUAUCGCGGGAGUCAGACUACGGGGGAUAAGCUCCGUGGUCGAGAGGGAAACAGCCCAGACCGCCGGCUAAGGUCCCUAAUCCAAGCUAAGUGACUAAGGAAGUGAGGAUGCACAGACAGCCAGGAUGUUGGCUUAGAAGCAGCCAUCAUUUAAAAAGUGCGUAAUAGCUUACUGGUCGAGCAUUCUUGCGCCGAUAAUUCACGGGACUAAGCUUGGUACCGAAGCCGCGGGUUGUCGAUAUCUUCGGAUGUCGGCAGCGGUAGGGGAGCGUUCCACGCUAGGUUGAAGGGGUACCGUAAGGAGCCCUGGACGAUGUGGAAGUGAUUAUGCAGGUAUGAGUAGCGAUAAAAGAAGUGAGAAUCUUCUUCGCCGAAAGCCUAAGGUUUCCUGGGGAAGGUAAAUCCGCCCAGGGUGAGUCGGUCCCUAAGGCGAGGCCGAAAGGCGUAGUCGAUGGAUAGCAGGUAAAUAUUCCUGCACCACCUGGCUUGCGUUUGUACGACGUGGUGACGGAGAUAAGAAGGUCAUCGCACGAUUGAAAAUGUGCGUUUCUAAUCUGAGGGUGAGCUGUAGGAAAAUCCGCAGCACCAAAGCCCAGGGGUUGGAUCGAGUCCACCUGACGAGACUAAGUGACCGGAAUGUCUUCCAAGAAAAGCCUCUAAGGAGCCCCUUCGGGGGCGCGUCGGUCAGGUGACCGUACUAAAACUGACACAGGUAGGCGAGAUGAGUAUUCUCAGGCGCUCGGGAGAACCCUGGUUAAGGAACUCGGCAAAAUAGCCCCGUAACUUCGGGAGAAGGGGCGCCCCCUAGGGUAUGUCGCUUGCGUGGCGUGCUCAGGGGGGUCGCAGUGAAAGGGCUCUAGCGACUGUUUACUAAAAACACAGGUCUGUGCUAAGUCUAAAAGACGCCGUAUACAGACCGACACCUGCCCAAUGCCGGAAGGUUAAAGGGACGGGUUAGCCCCUUCGGGGGCGAAGCUCAGAACCGAAGCCCCGGUGAAUGGCGGCCGUAACUAUGACGGUCCUAAGGUAGCGAAGUUCCUUGUCGGGUAAGUUCCGACCCGCAUGAAUGGUGUAACGACUGGAGCGCUGUCUCAACCAGGGACUCGGCGAAAUUGCAGUGAAGGUGAAGAUACCUUCUACCCGCGGCUAGACGGAAAGACCCCGUGAAGCUUUACUGUAACCUAGUAUUGGGUCCUGCUACAGUAUGUGUAGGAUAGGUGGGAGGCGUUGACUAGUGGGCGCUAGCUCACUCUGAGCCAUCCUUGAAAUACCACCCUUAUUGUACUGGGAUUCUAACCUGUUGCCGUGAAUCCGGGACAGGAACCGUGCUAGGCGGGCAGUUUGACUGGGGCGGUCUCCUCCUAAAAGGUAACGGAGGAGUGCAAAGGCACCCUCAGUGCGGUUGGCAAUCGCACGUAGAGCGUAAAGGUAAAAGGGUGCUUGACUGCGAGACCUAUAAGUCAAGCAGACGUGAAAGCGGGCCUUAGUGAUCCGGCGGAUUCCAUGUGGAAGGGCCGUCGCUCAACAGAUAAAAGCUACUCCGGGGAUAACAGGCUGAUCUCCCCCAAGAGUCCAUAUCGACGGGGAGGUUUGGCACCUCGAUGUCGGCUCAUCGCGUCCUGGGGCUGUAGGAGGUCCCAAGGGUUCGGCUGUUCGCCGAUUAAUAGCGGUACGUGAGCUGGGUUUAGACCGUCGUGAGACAGGUCGGUCCCUAUCUACCGUGGGCGUAGGAGAUUUGAGAAGAGCUUCCCCUAGUACGAGAGGACUGGGGAGGACGAACCUCUGGUGUUCCAGUUGUCCCGUCAGGGGCAUCGCUGGGUAGCUAAGUUCGGACCGGAUAACCGCUGAAAGCAUCUAAGCGGGAAGCCGCAUUCAAGAUUAGAUCUCCCUGAAGACCCCUUGAAGACUACGAGGUUGAUAGGCCAGAUGUGUAAGGGCAGCAAUGCCUUCAGCUAACUGGUACUAACCGGUCGUUCGGCUUGACCAU